AUCUCAGUGGCUCAGUGCUUAUUAGUGCUUAUACAUUAAGCUUGAAACAAAGAGAUCCCGGGUUCGAAUCCUGGCUGGGAUA